rnacentral:lncRNA from 1 species
UUUGAGUCGGUAAACAUGUUUGUCCACCGCCAUAAUUUAUGCUCGGUCAUAUGCUACUCAGUGCUUGACUUUGUUGCUGUUUAUAAUAUUUGUGUUUGGUUCGCACAUGUUUGCUUUCUCGUUUUAAUUCCCUUGCCUUUCCCUUUCCAAAAUAGCGAUUUUGUCAGUGCAUAAUUAUUCGAUCUUUAAGCGUACAUGCACGUCUUCAACUUGAAAAAGCAGUUUCGAUUUUUAGUAUUUAUAGUGAUUCUUGUAACUUAAAAUUAUUGACUAUUAAACCUUAAGAAAAAUAAUCGUAAUUAAUGGAAGCAAAGGAAUGUAUAAAGAGCUGAUAUCCAGUUUAGGAUUCAAUAACUGGAGACACUGCUAUACAUCUGUUGUACUUUGUGUAAAAUGCCAAGGGUUAAUUAUUAAGUCAAAGCAUAUUAUCAUUAAACUAUUAUAAUUGAAAUAAAAAAUCUCAAAAUACAAAUAUCAUCCCACUUUGUUGACCGUCAAUCCACGAUUUUCAAACCAAAAUAGGUUGUAUCUCUAAUUUAAAGUUGUGUUUGACGUAUAGUUAUCAUAACUAGUAUUUUGAAGGGUUUUUUUUUCUCCGGAAAAAAACCUUCAGAUAUACUUUAUAGUCAAGUCAGAAUCAACAUAUGUGUGAAAUUAUAAAAAAUCAAAAGAUAAAUGUUUAUGGUUGAUACAAAACUUCACGCCAAC